UUGGAAGGUAUUUUUACCAAUAUAUCGAUAUUGUAUCACAAUGUUAAUUUGAGUAAUUGAAAUAGAAUAAAUGGAAUAUAUGUAAAUAUCACACGCCGAAAUGCAGUUUCAAACCGAAGAUGUAAGUUAUAGCAUUGGAAGAUUCUUUGACUUAUACCAAAAUAAACUUCCUGUGGUUGUUAUGGUAACACAAGGUUUCUUUGGAAACAUUAUAGAGGACACUUUCGAUCGAGAACAGGUGAUGAUUAUCAAUGGAAUAUCAAGACAGAAGCGUGUAUUGGCCAAGUGGGUGGUGCAGGGUAUACCAAAAUUGUUAAGUAUUCCCGAAGACUACACUGAAAAAAUGUGCAGGAUUAAAAGUGGGAUAGGUAACAACAAAUUACUUUAGUUAAUUUAAGUGAUGAUUGGGAAUACAAUUCUUUAAUGCUUUUUUUCAAAUAUAUUACUCUUUGCUGUAGUAUUUAUCAAUUCUUUUAAUAUAGUAAGUUCCUAAAUCGUGCGGAAGUGUCCAAAUUUACCAAUGUAAUUAUUCAUGUGUUAAUUUAAGUAAAUACCUAGAUCCGAUUAAAUUAUCUAUAUGUAUGCAAGUGUUAAAGUUGCUAAAUCUCUAUGUUAAACGCGUAUACUGAACAUGUUUAAAUACUGUGCAUUCCCGGAACUAUACUGUAUUUGCUAUAUAACGCUUUUAAGUGUUGUUAAUGUAUCGUAAGUUAAGUUAAUGAAUUAAUGAGUGCCUUGGAGUGUGACUGUAUUUUGUGUUUAAUGUAGUUUGUGUUUCUAAGUGCCGUAAUUUCCUUGUGAUUUGUUUAAACGUGUGAUUUGUAAAUACGUAUAUCUGAUGAAACAGUGCGUGUGAGAUGAACAAUUAAAUUGGUUAAAUAUUACGUUGAUUAAUAAACUCAGUAAAGUAAGAGAUAUAGCUCUAUGGAACAGCUCUGUGAAUCUAAGUGUUUAAGAACGCUAAUUAUUAUACUUAAGUUUACAGUGAUAUUAACUGACAAUUUAUAUUAGAUCUACGUAAUACAUGUAAUGUUAUAUUUUGCUAAAUGUUAGUUACUUGAAUCUUCUUGUCUUGUAUGUAUUACUCUAUGUGGUUAAACAGUUAAAGUUAAUAAAAGUUGUUUAAGUGUU